GAUGGUCGACUGGCAAAACUAAAUGCAGGAAGGGGUUUCUCUGAUGUAUUUGAAGAAGAAAUCAGUUCAGGUGGCUUUUGUGGAGGUAAAACCUAUUUACAAUAUUAUUAUCCAUUUUUAAAAUAACAAUUACCUUGAUUUUUGUACUUGAAUUUAUAUAUUCUGUUUCAUAAACAACUCUUUUCUUCUGUAUAUACAUAAUGUCUUAAGUAUAUUUUUCAUCUUAUAAUAUCAAUAUCAAGUAAUUUUGUUUGAUAUCUGUUAUUCAAGGCAUUAAGUUUGUCUUCAUGAAUUAGUAGCUGUUGACUUAGACAAUCUCCUAAUAAUACUGCAAAUGAAUAAUAGAAGUCCAAUAAAUAUGUAUCCUUUUGCCUUUCCUCCUAAAUAGUUGUCUCUACCAGAAAAUAAUUGUAGUGGUAAUUUCUGAGUAUGAAUUUAAAAACUGAGAUUCGGAUUGAAAUGGCACAUGUAAUAUAAUCUAAAGGGAAAUAUGUGAACACCAUAACUCAUUCUGCAUUUUUAUGUAAGUGUAUUAUUUUAUGGAAGUCUUUUCCUAUUUUACUUUGCAGAUCACUUCAGCUUUAGGAAAAGUAUAUCAUUACAUAAAUAUAACUAAUUCUACAGCCCUCUGGUGUAUUGUAUUUAUGGUGUCACGCAAGAUUCCCAUAAGUAUAAUUAAUUAUUCAAAUGUAAAUAUCCCAAAAUAUAAUUAUAUGGGCAACUAAUGAUUUAUAGAUUGAUGUUUUGUGCACAUAUGUUCUAGUAUAUAGUCGCAACUUACAUAGAAUUUUGGUUGAGUCCUUGAAAUGUCCCAUUUAUUCAUUCAUUCAGGCAGUAUUACUGAGUCCUUACUAUGUAUUGUUCUAGAUACCAGGCAAGCAAAAUAAAGAUUUUUUUCCCUCAUAUCUUGGUGUGUUUGUUUUUAACCUGGUAUAAUGGCGUUUUUUUCAACUCUUUGUAGUUAUAUUUGAAGAAAAGAAGUUUUUAGUCUGCAUGAAUAAAUAGUUGUUAGAAUUGAGAAAACAUGAAACGAUAAAAAGUCAUAAGUAUUCAUCUAUAAAUUUAACAAAUUUUAAUUUUAUUCUUAAAUAAGAUUUAUUUCCUCACCUUAAAAUAUAGAAAUAAAUAUACAUUUUUUUCUAAAAGAAGUACAAAUGAAUUUUGCAAUUGCAGACCUUUAUCUAAGGUACAGCAUUUUAUUGAUUGCAUUUAGCUUGGGGAAAAAGUUCUAUUUGACUUAGUAGGUAAGCUGCAUAUGGAAUCAUUCAGCUCCUUGCUUUCCUUAGCUCUUAGGGAAAAAUUUAGCUUCAAUGGAACUUUUGUGUUAAAAUAAUGCUGUUUUACUUUUCAACUAAGACAAGCAAAAUAUUGUCAGCUUAUGGACAAAUUGCUUGAGGCAUCUAUUCAGUAUUUACAUAACUGCUGUCUCAUUAUCUUUAUGACCCGUGGGGCUAGUAGCUUUUAUAGAAUUGAAGUUGACAUCUUGUGACAGUAAUGGGGUAGAACUAUGAUCCUUUUAUACAGUUAAAUUCUGUGGUCUUAACCAUUGCUCAAGAUACCUCUGUAAUAAAGUAGAAAUAAAUGGCUUUUCUGGUGGAAGAGGAUAACUUAAGAUUUUUUUUAAUUAAAGAUUUUAUCACUUAAAAAAUAAUAGGGAAAUAUGAUCACUGGUUAUCAUCUGACUUAGAGACUGCCACAUUGUUAGUUCAACUCAAUUUCAAUUGCUUUGUUGUUCUUUAGUACAAUUUAGUACAGAAAAUGUUUUUGAGCUUUUAUUCUAAUUUGAGGGAGCAAAUAACCUAUCCCAAAGGAAAUCCUAGUUCAGCAAUUACUCAUUUCAGUAAAUAAAGAAGUACCUUAAAAUAAUACCUGUCAAAUUUUAUUUUUAGUUGUAUUUUAGAUUCUUUUAGAUAUACAUGGAGAUUAUUCUUAGAAAAUAAAGCAUAAUUCACUAGGAUUUGAAAUAAGAAAAAUGACUAAUAAAAUUAGCAAUAUUCUUCUAACUACUAAUUAGGACAUAUCUGUCUGUUUAGGAUAUAUAUCUGUCUGUUUAUUUCCAAAAAUAUUUCUUGGUGGUCUCCUCCAAAUGUGUCAUCUAGUAUACUCAGGAGAAGGAAGAGUACAUCUGCCAUGACAUUCACCUGUAAAAUGUAAACAGUAAUAACUCUCAUUUCUCUUACAGUAACUGUAGUAAUUGUUCAUGUUUAUUGAGUACUAAUAUGUGUCAGAAAUUCUCAUUUUAUUCUGACUACACUCUAAGAGGCACUUUGACUAGUCCAUUUAUAUGAAGGCACUCAAUUCAGUAAUUCUCUCAAAGUCGCAUAGGAAGUAGAGACCAGUCUAAACUCGGCACAUAUCUAUCUAGUUUCAAAGCUCUUGUGGUAAUGACUAUAGCAUAUCUAUGUUUUUAUACUAGGAGAUAUUAAUAAGGGAACAGGUUGUAAGCAAAAGUAGCACUUAAGCCCUCUCUUCUCUGAAUAAAAGCAAAAGUCCUAUAUUUCUGACCAUAUCUUGAAGACUUGUUUAUACAUCAAGCACAGAAAAGAUCACUGUAAGAGAAAUCAACAUUAACUAAAACUGAAGAACAAAAUUAAGUUUCUUUAAGCAAAAAUAAUUAGGAAAAUUUAGGGAAGCAUCUAUACAUCAUGACAGUAGUAAUUUGUAUGCUAUUUUUGUUGCUAGUGUUUGUUUUAUGAUAAAAUGAUUGUUGAGUAUGGUAUAAUUGUGGUUCUAAUUAAAAUUAUACAAGGCAGUAUAAUCAGAUAUAGAACAUUUAGAUUCACAUUUGAAUCUAGAAAUAUGAUUAAAGAGUCUGUGAAUUCAUAGAGAUUUUAUAAAACCUUUUUCUGUCCCAUAAGUUUUCAUAUCAGGACUACUAAGCAAUUCAUGUUGUACUUGAUUCUUUUCAUCACUUUUGCAGAAUGUUUAAUCUUAAUUUAUAAGAAUAGUAUACCAGGAAAUAUAUGAAGGGAAAUGUAUCCAUGGAUGUUGAAAUAUAAGAGGACAUGAAUAUAACAAGACUCAAUUAGGUAAACACAGAUCAUCUCAGAGCCACAGUUUCCUCAUUUGACAAGUUAUUCAUAAUAAUAACUAACACUCAUGAUAUUUCUGGGAUGUGUUAGAUACCCUGCUAAACAUCAUAUCAUCAUUAUCUUUCAUACUCACAUUAAUCCUAAAAGCCAUUGACUGUUAAGAUGAAUGAUGAGGCUGAGACUCACCAAACUAAGGUUCUUUUUCCUAAAUAGUCUGUGAAAGCCACUCAAGAAAGUUUAAUAGGAAUGUUGUUUUGUAAAUAUAUUUUCAGUUAAAAUAAUACUAGUUUUUAAAUCCUCAUCAAAUAGUCUAAACUUUAGAAAGGAGAACUAUUUUAAUGUUGAUUUUUAUAUAGAAGUAUGUGGGUACUCUUCAUUAGUAGCAUUAUUUCCUCAUUAGCUUCCUGAUAUAAUCUGGUCAGAUCUUUGUUUAUUUCUUUUUACUGACUAAGGUAUUAAAGAAUUUGAUGAGGUAGUAGAUAUUUAUCAGUUUUAGUGGCAUUUUUCUGGCCACAUAAGCACUUUAAAUCAAUUUACAUAUUUUGAUAAAUAACUAUACUUUACUGGAAUUUAAACAAAUACAUUUGAAAAAACAGUCUUUGCAUAAGUGAAAGCUAAAGAUAUUUUGUCCUUGAGUAAGUCAAAAUGAGUUGUUUAAUAAGAAUGUUAAAAUUUUUAAAUAAGGCUUGUUAAUUGCCUGAAACAGUUAACUUAAAAGAAACAUUGAUGGAUUAUUUUUUGCAUUCAAAUUAAUUUUUAAGAAGAAAAGCAGCCUUAUUUUUUUUUAACAUUACCAAAGGAUUAUGUGAUUGUCUCAUAAGUUUCAUAGAAAUAGGAACCUUACUUAUGUCAUAAAACAGUAAAAUUUAGGGAUACAGUCCUUAAAUUUUUUAAAACGGGAAUCUACCUAAAUUGUUUCACAUUUUGCUGUCAUCUUAACCAGUUUAUUUAUUCCUAGGGAAUUACUGUUUGCCCUCAUAUGUCAUAGUUUUAUAUUAUUCUAGAUUUUUAAUUUCCCUUUCAAAGCUCUAGCUUGAGCAGCCCCUCUCCCUUUCUUCUUUUUCUUUUUUCUUUAUUUUUUGGGGAGGGGAUGGGAGUUGAACUUGGCAGGCACUCAACCACUGAGCCUGGUCCACAACCCUAUUUUGCAUUUUAUUUAGAGACAGGGUCUCACUGAGUUGCUUAGUGCCUUGCUUUUGCUGAGGCUGGCUUUGAACUCAUGAUCCUCCUAUCUCAGCCUCCAGAGCUGCUGGGAUUACAGGCGUGCACCACUGCACCCAGCAUCCCUUUCUAACGUAAUUGCUUUGGAGGUGAUACAGAGAAACCUCUGUAUAACUUAAAUGUUCUGAUAUUUUACUAAGUAGUCUUAGAGAUAGUAUUUCAGAGUUGAAAGAAUAAUGAACCAGGAAUUAAAAUGCCUAGAUUAUUCUUUCUUGGUUGUUAGACUUCCAAAUUUGGGCAAAGAAUGUAUCAUCUCAGAACCACAGCUUCCUUAUUUGGAAACUUAUUAAUAAUAAUUAAUAAUAACUAACAUUUAUGGUGGUUCUGUGAUGUGUUAGGUACCCUACUAAAUAUCAUAUAAUAAUUAUCUUUCAUUCUUAUAUACAUUAAUCCUAAAAGUCAAUGAUAGGCUUUGACCAAUAAGGAGGGUGAGACUCUGCUAUUAAGAACCUAGUUCCAUAUCACAUGGUUUGCAGGGUGGACCUGGACUACAAAGGUCUGUUGCACACCAAAUGCUGCUUCCUUCCCAUCCAGCUAUGUUUCCUAUGGCAUUGCCUGCUUUGCCUGUUUUAUAGUAGAAAUGUUCAGAUCGAAUAACAUAAUGUAGAUAAAAACAUCUGUGACCUGUGGAGAGCUCAGUAGGAACUUUUUUUAAACCUUACAAUCCUAAAUAAGACACUAACCUUUCUAUAACAGAUCCAUUGUCUUAUCAUAGCUAUUUUCUUUGUGUUUGAGUAUCCAAAAAUGCUGAAGUGUUAUAUUAUUGGCAUUUCUCUGAUUUCUUAAAUUCAUUUUAGGAAAAUAAUUAAAUACUUUACAGAAUAACUGUAAAUAACAUCUAAAUCUUAAAUUUAUGAUUUUCACUCAAUCAUUUUUAACAAUAAAAAAGUAAAAAAAUAUAUGAACUGAUGAGACUUUUUAAUAGACGAGUGAAUAAUCUGGAUGAAUAAAAAUAUGCACUUAAUUUUAUCAUUAAUAAAAAUCUCCUUGAGAAAUAAAUUUAUAGGAUAACUUGGAAUUUGUUAUUUUACAAUGGAAAAUACAUUUUAAAAAAUUUGGACAAGCCAAGACCUCUUAAAGCUUACCCUUUUAAACUUAUUUUACAUAAAUUAUUUCAGGUAGAUACAUUUUUGUGUAGUCAUUUACAAAAUUAAAAAAAAUAUAUAGUAUUUCUCUCUAGAUUAUUUUCUCCAAAAAAGGCAUAAUGCAGUGUGGAGUGGUAAGAGAUGUUUAUCAGAAUAAAAGUGAUUUCUUGAUACUUCUUUAAAUUAGGAAAAGAUUUUAAGUCUAAGAGUGAAUCCAGAGCACAAUGCUUUGCCUGAUGUUUAUUAGGGUUACAAAGAAUAACAGGAAAAAAAUUCUUAGGCUGGGAUCAUUCUGCUUCUGUUUUUGUAACAGCAAGGUGGUACUUCUCCUCCCCACCUCUCUAAGCCACAACCACAAACAAAGGAACACCAUUUUUAGAAGUCACUUGUACCUGGUUAUUGACAGGGUAGCCACUGGCACUUUGAUUUUUUUGUUUGUUUUAGAAGGAAGUUACUGGGAAUUGAGCACAAGGAUACACUACCCCUAAGCUACAUUCCUGGGCCUUUCUACUGCUUAUGUUGGUAUAGGGUCUUGCUAAAUUGCCCAGGUUGGCUUUGAACUUGCCAUCCUCCUGCCUUAACCUCCUGAGUCUGAGAUUGCAGGAGUGUGCCACUACACCUAGUAACACAUUUUAUUGUGAUUUUUCACCCUUCUUUAGAGAAUAUUUAAACAUUUAUACUAACAAGAAAGUAGUUGAAAUCAGUUGAUAUGAAAGAUUAGGCUAGUAAUAUGGAUUACUUUUUUGCCUUUGAAUCUCAUUUUAUUGGCCAAAUUAUUUACCGUAUUUCAAAGUCAGUCAGUUCCAAAUUGUAUUAGAACUAGUUUUUGUCAGCAUUUGAGCUUUGUAAUAAUAAUAACCAGGUACACUGUAGCUUAAAAGCUACAUUUGCUUUACAUUUCCUUGGGUGAUACCUUUCAAAUUUAUAGAUUUGUAACCAGAGAAUAUGCUCAGAACUAAAACUGUGGUUUAAUUGCAUUAAAAUAAAGUUAAUUAAUGUGUUAAUAAUUAACAACCACAGAAUAAAUUUGUUGUACCUCAGAUUCGUUCAGCUCCAAAUUUCCUUCUGAAUUUUUCACACUUCUCUCUGCACUUGAGUGGCAUUUUAAGUAAAAUUAUGUAAAAAAGGCCAACUUUUACAAAACAGCAGAGACAUAAAACAUUGAAAAUUAAGUUUAAAAAAAUAGAAAUUUUGGAUUUGAAAAGAGAUGAGAUAUUCCCUCUGAGGCCAAUAUGAAAAUAAAAGAAUAGAUAAUAAUAUAUUAUUUUCAUAUGUCAAUGAAAAAAGUGUCUUUUCAAGUGCUAAUUAUAAAAAUUAAAGCAUUAAUUCUCAUUGUGCCAUUGCAUCUUUUACAACAUUGUAAGUAAAAUUUGCCUACUAAGAUGCUAGAAAUAUUAGUUAUUGAUGAAUUUUAAUUUAUAAAUUUUUAUUUUUGAUUCCUGAUAUCAGAUUUUCUGUAUUCCAGGGAACCCAAGGUCAUAUCAACAAUGGGUACAUACAGUAAAGGUAAUAAUAUGCUUUCAAAGUUUCUUC
rnacentral:lncRNA from 1 species